UGGUGAAAAGGGUAAACUUAUCGAAAGAUAAGGACACAAAGCCAUGGGUCUACGGAAUGGUGUCCAGUGGUCAUUAUUCUAUGAUUGCCAGGCUGCCGAA
rnacentral:ncRNA from 1 species